rnacentral:rRNA from 1 species
GAAACCUGGUUGAUCCUGCCAGUAGUCAUACGCUUGUCUCAAAGAUUAAGCCAUGCAUGUGUAAGUUUAACGAAGCUAAACAGAAAACUGCGAAUGGCUCAUUAUAUCAGUAAUAAUUUAUUUGGUGUUCCCUUACUACUUGGAUAACCGUAGUAAUUCUAGAGCUAAUACAUGCGUAAAAUCUCGACUUCUGG